rnacentral:rRNA from 1 species
GACGAACGCUGGCGGCGUGCUUAACACAUGCAAGUCGAACGGAAAGGCCUGCUUUCCCUUGUGGAUUGCGGGUACUCGAGUGGCGAGCGGGUGAGUAACACGUGAGUGAUCUGCCCCCAACUUGGGUAUAAGCCUGGGAAACUGGGUCUAAUUCCCGAUAGGACUGCAGGGUGGUGCCUGUGGUGGAAAACGAUUUUCUAGUGGUUGGGGAUGAGCUCGCGGCCUAUCAGCUUGUUGGUGGGGUAAUGGCCUACCAAGGCGGCGACGGGUAGCCGGCCUGAGAGGGUGGACGGCAACAUUGGGACUGAGAUACGGCCCAGACUCCUACGGGAGGCAGCAGUGGGGAAUAUUACACAAUGGGCGGAAGCCUGAUGCAGCGACGCCGCGUGGGGGAUGACGGCCUUCGGGUGGUAAACUCCUUUCGACCGCGAGGAAGCCACCUGGUUGGAAGGGUGGUGACGGUAGUGGUAGAAGAAGCACCGGCUAACUACGUG